AGAGUUUGAUCAUGGCUCAGAUUGAACGCUGGCGGCAGGCCUAACACAUGCAAGUCGAGCGGUAACAGGCCCUUCGGGGCGCUGACGAGCGGCGGACGGGUGAGUACUGCAUAGGAAUCUACCCGGUAGUGGGGGAUAACCUGGGGAAACUCAGGCUAAUACCGCAUACGUCCUACGGGAGAAAGCAGGGGCCUUUUGGCCUUGCGCUAUCGGAUGAGCCUAUGCCGGAUUAGCUGGUUGGUGAGGUAAUGGCUCACCAAGGCGACGAUCCGUAGCUGGUCUGAGAGGAUGAUCAGCCACAUCGGGACUGAGACACGGCCCGAACUCCUACGGGAGGCAGCAGUGGGGAAUAUUGGCCAAUGGGGGCAACCCUGAUCCAGCCAUGCCGCGUGUGUGAAGAAGGCCUUCGGGUUGUAAAGCACUUUCAGCGAGGAAGAACGCCUGGCGGUUAAUACCCGCCAGGAAAGACAUCACUCGCAGAAGAAGCACCGGCUAACUCCGUGCCAGCAGCCGCGGUAAUACGGAGGGUGCGAGCGUUAAUCGGAAUUACUGGGCGUAAAGCGCGCGUAGGCGGCGUGAUAAGCCGGUUGUGAAAGCCCUGGGCUCAACCUGGGAACUGCAUCCGGAACUGUCAGGCUAGAGUGCAGGAGAGGAAGGUAGAAUUCCCGGUGUAGCGGUGAAAUGCGUAGAGAUCGGGAGGAAUACCAGUGGCGAAGGCGGCCUUCUGGACUGACACUGACGCUGAGGUGCGAAAGCGUGGGUAGCAAACAGGAUUAGAUACCCUGGUAGUCCACGCCGUAAACGAUGUCGACCAGCCGUUGGGUGCCUUGAGCACUUUGUGGCGAAGUUAACGCGAUAAGUCGACCGCCUGGGGAGUA
rnacentral:rRNA from 1 species